rnacentral:rRNA from 1 species
UACGGGGGGGGCAAGCGUUGUUCGGAAUUACUGGGCGUAAAGGGCUCGUAGGUGGCCAACUAAGUCAGACGUGAAAUCCCCAGGCUCAACUUGGGAACUGCGUCUGAUACUGGAUGGCUUGAAUUCGGGAGAGGGAUGCAGAAUUCCAGGUGUAGUGGUGAAAUGCGUAGAUAUCUGGAGGAAUACCGGUGGCGAAGGCGGCAUCCUGGACCGAGAUUGACACUGAUGAGCGAAAGCUAGGGGAGCAAACGGG